rnacentral:rRNA from 1 species
UACAGAGGUGGCAAGCGUUGUUCGGAAUUACUGGGCGUAAAGGGCGCGUAGGUGGUCUUUUAAGUUCCGUGUGAAAUCCCUCGGCUCAACUGGGGAACUGCACGGGAAACUGGAAGGCUUGAGUUCGGGAGAGGGAAGCGGAAUUCCGGGUGUAGCGGUGAAAUGCGUAGAUAUCCGGAGGAACACCGGUGGCGAAGGCGGCUUCCUGGACCGACACUGACGCUGAGGCGCGAAAGCCAGGGGAGCAAACGGG